rnacentral:rRNA from 1 species
UUGUCUCAAAGAUUAAGCCAUGCAUGUCUCAGUACAUACCGAAAUAAGGUGAAACCGCGAAAGGCUCAUUAUAUCAGUUAUGGUUCAUUAGAUCGUACCCCACAUUUACUUGGAUAACUGUGGUAAUUCUAGAGCUAAUACAUGCAAACAGAACUCCGACCGGAGACGGAAGGAGCGCUUUUAUUAGAUCAAAACCAAUAGGCGGCGGCGGCCGGCGUUUCACGACGUCGCGUCGUCGUCGUCACAUAAAUCGCACGACGAAUCUGAAUAACUUUAUGCCGAUCGCACGGUCACGCACCGGCGACGGAUCUUUCAAAUGUCUGCCUUAUCAACUUUCGAUGGUAGGUUAUGCGCCUACCAUGGUUGUAACGGGUAACGGGGAAUCAGGGUUCGAUUCCGGAGAGGGAGCCUGAGAAACGGCUACCACAUCCAAGGAAGGCAGCAGGCGCGCAAAUUACCCACUCCCGGCACGGGGAGGUAGUGACGAAAAAUAACGAUACGGGACUCAUCCGAGGCCCCGUGAUCGGAAUGAGCACACUUUAAAUCCUUUAACUAGGAUCAAUUGGAGGGCAAGUCUGGUGCCAGCAGCCGCGGUAAUUCCAGCUCCAAUAGCGUAUAUUAAAGUUGCUGCGGUUAAAAAGCUCGUAGUCGAAAUUGUGUCCCGGGCCGCCGGUUCGUCGCUCGCGACGCCAACUGGCGCGCACGCGGGACGUCCAGCCGGUACCACGAACCCGCCGACGGUGCUCUUAACCGAGUGUCCAGGCGGGGGCCGGCAAUGUUACUUUGAACAAAUUAAAGUGCUUAAAGCAAGCUAAACUGCGCUCGUAUAAUACGUGCAUGGAAUAAUCGAAUAGGACCUCUGUUCUAUUUUGUUGGUUUUUGUGGAACGCACAGAGGUAAUGAUCAAUGGGUGCGGAUGGGGGCAUUCGUAUUGCGACGUUAGAGGUGAAAUUCUUGGAUCGUCGCAAGACGCACUAAAGCGAAAGCAUUUGCCAAAAACGCUUUCAUCGAUCAAGAACGAAAGUUAGAGGUUCGAAGGCGAUCAGAUACCGCCCUAGUUCUAACCAUAAACUAUGCCAGCUAGCGAUCCGCCGCAGUUACUACUACGACUCGGCGGGCAGCUUUCGGGAAACCAAAGCUUUUGGGUUCCGGGGGAAGUAUGGUUGCAAAGCUGAAACUUAAAGGAAUUGACGGAAGGGCACCACCAGGAGUGGAGCCUGCGGCUUAAUUUGACUCAACACGGGAAACCUCACCAGGCCCGGACACCGRAAGGAUUGACAGAUUGAGAGCUCUUUCUUGAUUCGGUGGGUGGUGGUGCAUGGCCGUUCUUAGUUGGUGGAGCGAUUUGUCUGGUUAAUUCCGAUAACGAACGAGACUCUGGCCUGCUAACUAGGCGUAUUUCCGACAUCNNGAAGGCCCGCCNGGCCNGGNGCGUUCGCGCUCCGAGUCGCGCGCGGUUUUUACUGUCGGCGUACAAACAAUUCUUCUUNGAGGGACAGGCGGCUUCUAGCCGCACGAGAUAGAGCAAUAACAGGUCUGUGAUGCCCUUAGAUGUUCUGGGCCGCACGCGCGCUACACUGAAGGAAUCAGCGUGUUUUCCCUGGCCGAGAGGCCCGGGUAACCCGCUGAACCUCCUUCGUGCUAGGGAUUGGGGCUUGCAAUUGUUCCCCAUGAACGAGGAAUUCCCAGUAAGCGCGAGUCAUAAGCUCGCGUUGAUUACGUCCCUGCCCUUUGUACACACCGCCCGUCGCUACUACCGAUUGAAUGAUUUAGUGAGGUCUUCGGAUCCUCACGCGGUGGCGUUUCGACGUCGCCGAUGCUGCGAAAAGAUGACCAAACU